rnacentral:rRNA from 1 species
UCCCAGACUCCUACGGGAGGCAGCAGCGGGGAAUAUUGCACAAUGGGGGAAACCCUGAUGCAGCGACGCCGCGUGAGCGAUGAAGUAUUUCGGUAUGUAAAGCUCUAUCAGCAGGGAAGAAGAUGACGGUACCUGACUAAGAAGCCCCGGCUAACUACGUGCCAGCAGCCGCGGUAAUACGUAGGGGGCAAGCGUUAUCCGGAUUUACUGGGUGUAAAGGGAGCGUAGACGGCGAUGCAAGCCAGAUGUGAAAGCCCGGGGCUCAACCCCGGGACUGCAUUUGGAACUGUGUGGCUGGAGUGUCGGAGAGGCAGGCGGAAUUCCUAGUGUAGCGGUGAAAUGCGUAGAUAUUAGGAGGAACACCAGUGGCGAAGGCGGCCUGCUGGACGAUGACUGACGUUGAGGCUCGAAAGCGUGGGGAGCAAACAGGAUUAGAUACCCGCGUACG